rnacentral:rRNA from 1 species
GACGAACGCUGGCGGCGUGCCUAAUACAUGCAAGUAGGACGCAGUUGCGAGCGGGUGAGUCACGCGUAGGUAACUACCUAUUAGAGGGGGAUGACUAUUGGAAACGAUAGCUAAUACCGCAUCCUCAUAGAUGGACCUGCGGUGGAUUAGCUAGUAGGUAGGGUACUGGCCUACCUAGGCAAAGAGACAUAGCCGAGCUGAGAGGGUGAUCGGCCAAACUGGGACUGAGACACCGCCCAGAAUUCUAAGGGGAGCAGCAGUAGGGAAUCUUCGGAAAGGGGGGGAACCCUGACCGAGCAACGCCGCGUGAGUGAAGAAGGUUUUCGGAUCGUAAAGCUCGGUUGUUCAGGAAGCGGUACUUAACCAGAAAGGGACGGCUAACUACGUGCCAGCAGCCGCGGUAAUUC